rnacentral:lncRNA from 1 species
ACCAUUAGCUACAGUGGCCUCCUGGGAUCACCAUUUGCAAUAUAAGCCCAGUGACUUAAAGGAGAGAGUGGAGAGGAAUCAUGGUAAGGCUUGUAACUCCAAGGAUGAAGAACAACCAGGGCUUGGGGAUGGGUGAAGAAUCUUCUGAAGAAGUGACCUGGCUACUCUUAUAAAGUGUCAGGUGUCAUGGGUUCAGCCAUCUCACACUAUUUAAAGUGGGGGACCCGUCCUUCACUGAUGGAGUGGACAGGUGAUCAGAGAACCAUCCCACCAAGAGAAAGACCCUCUUGAGGCCCUCCAUCUCUGCAUGUCAGGUUCACACCUUCCAGAAUGCAGAGGGACCCUGGGAAGAGCUGGAGAAGAGAAGAGGAAGAAGGAUGGGAGACGGAAGAUUCUCAGUUGGAAAAAAAAACAGCAGCAAGAAACUUUGUUUACCUUGUUGGUCAGAUUAAAUUUCUGCCACCAAAAGAAAUCGAGAUUGAAAAGCUAAGUUUAAUUAUGGAGAAAAUAAAGUUACAUUUUUUUUUGCACAACAAA